AGACGGAGGGGGCUAGCGUUAUUCGGAAUUACUGGGCGUAAAGGGCGCGUAGGCGGAUUAGUAAGUUGGGAGUGAAAGCCCGGGGCUUAACCUCGGAACUGCUUUCAAAACUGCUAGUCUUGAGUGAAGUAGGGGGUGAUGGAAUUCCUAGUGUAGAGGUGAAAUUCUUAGAUAUUAGGAGGAACACCGGUGGCGAAGGCGGUCACCUGGACUCCAACUGACGCUGAGGCGCGAAAGCGUGGGGAGCAAACAGGAUUAGAAACCCUAGUAGUCC
rnacentral:rRNA from 1 species